GACGAACGCUGGCGGCGUGCUUAACACAUGCAAGUCGAACGGAAAGGCCCUGCUUUUGUGGGGUGCUCGAGUGGCGAACGGGUGAGUAACACGUGAGUAACCUGCCCUUGACUUUGGGAUAACUUCAGGAAACUGGGGCUAAUACCGGAUAGGAGCUCCUGCUGCAUGGUGGGGGUUGGAAAGUUUCGGCGGUUGGGGAUGGACUCGCGGCUUAUCAGCUUGUUGGUGGGGUAGUGGCUUACCAAGGCUUUGACGGGUAGCCGGCCUGAGAGGGUGACCGGCCACAUUGGGACUGAGAUACGGCCCAGACUCCUACGGGAGGCAGCAGUGGGGAAUAUUGCACAAUGGGCGGAAGCCUGAUGCAGCAACGCCGCGUGCGGGAUGACGGCCUUCGGGUUGUAAACCGCUUUCGCCUGUGACGAAGCGUGAGUGACGGUAAUGGGUAAAGAAGCACCGGCUAACUACGUGCCAGCAGCCGCGGUGAUACGUAGGGUGCGAGCGUUGUCCGGAUUUAUUGGGCGUAAAGGGCUCGUAGGUGGUUGAUCGCGUCGGAAGUGUAAUCUUGGGGCUUAACCCUGAGCGUGCUUUCGAUACGGGUUGACUUGAGGAAGGUAGGGGAGAAUGGAAUUCCUGGUGGAGCGGUGGAAUGCGCAGAUAUCAGGAAGAACACCAGUGGCGAAGGCGGUUCUCUGGGCCUUUCCUGACGCUGAGGAGCGAAAGCGUGGGGAGCGAACAGGCUUAGAUACCCUGGUAGUCCACGCUGUAAACGGUGGGUACUAGGUGUGGGGUCCAUUCCACGGGUUCCGUGCCGUAGCUAACGCUUUAAGUACCCCGCCUGGGGAGUACGGCCGCAAGGCUAAAACUCAAAGGAAUUGACGGGGCCCCGCACAAGCGGCGGAGCAUGCGGAUUAAUUCGAUGCAACGCGUAGAACCUUACCUGGGUUUGACAUGGAUCGGGAGUGCUCAGAGAUGGGUGUGCCUCUUUUGGGGUCGGUUCACAGGUGGUGCAUGGCUGUCGUCAGCUCGUGUCGUGAGAUGUUGGGUUAAGUCCCGCAACGAGCGCAACCCUUGUUCACUGUUGCCAGCACGUUAUGGUGGGGACUCAGUGGAGACCGCCGGGGUCAACUCGGAGGAAGGUGGGGAUGACGUCAAGUCAUCAUGCCCCUUAUGUCCAGGGCUUCACGCAUGCUACAAUGGCUGGUACAGAGAGUGGCGAGCCUGUGAGGGUGAGCGAAUCUCGGAAAGCCGGUCUCAGUUCGGAUUGGAGUCUGCAGCUCGACCUCAUGAAGUCGGAGUCGCUAGUAAUCGCAGAUCAGCAACGCUGCGGUGAAUACGUUCCCGGGGCU
rnacentral:rRNA from 1 species